rnacentral:rRNA from 1 species
UACGGGGGGGGCAAGCGUUGCUCGGAAUUACUGGGCGUAAAGGGAGCGUAGGCGGAUAGUUUAGUCAGAGGUGAAAGCCCAGGGCUCAACCUUGGAAUUGCCUUUGAUACUGGCUAUCUUGAGUACGGAAGAGGUAUGUGGAACUCCGAGUGUAGAGGUGAAAUUCGUAGAUAUUCGGAAGAACACCAGUGGCGAAGGCGACAUACUGGUCCGUUACUGACGCUGAGGCUCGAAAGCGUGGGGAGCAAACAGG